UGCAGUCGAACGGUAACAGGUCUUCGGAUGCUGACGAGUGGCGAACGGGUGAGUAAUACAUCGGAACGUGCCUAGUAGUGGGGGAUAACUACUCGAAAGAGUAGCUGAUACCGCAUGAGAUCUAAGGAUGAAAGCAGGGGACCUUCGGGCCUUGCGCUACUAGAGCGGCUGAUGGCAGAUUAGGUAGUUGGUGGGAUAAAAGCUUACCAAGCCGACGAUCUGUAGCUGGUCUGAGAGGACGACCAGCCACACUGGAACUGAGACACGGUCCAGACUCCUACGGGAGGCAGCAGUGGGGAAUUUUGGACAAUGGGCGAAAGCCUGAUCCAGCAAUGCCGCGUGUAGGAUGAAGGCCCUCGGGUUGUAAACUACUUUUGUACGGAACGAAAAGACACCUUCUAAUACAGGGUGUCGAUGACGGUACCGUAAGAAUAAGCACCGGCUAACUACGUGCCAGCAGCCGCGGUAAUACGUAGGGUGCAAGCGUUAAUCGGAAUUACUGGGCGUAAAGCGUGCGCAGGCGGUUAUGUAAGACAGAGGUGAAAUCCCCGGGCUCAACCUGGGAACGGCCUUUGUGACUGCAUAGCUAGAGUACGGUAGAGGGGGAUGGAAUUCCGCGUGUAGCAGUGAAAUGCGUAUAUAUGCGGAGGAACACCGAUGGCGAAGGCAAUCCCCUGGACCUGUACUGACGCUCAUGCA
rnacentral:rRNA from 1 species